GCCCAUAAAGCUUCCAGGAUCUUCAUCUACUUCCUCCAUGGGCCAACUGAUCAGCCAGCUAGCAGGAAAUAGAUUGUUGGUUUCCUGUUUUCAUUAUUAGAAGGAAAUGAAUCAAUCUGGUCCCUGCAGACCAGUUCGUUACCUGCUAACAUCAGCCACAAACAAGCAAUGCACAGUGCGAUACUCUUACCAAUCUCUCUAUUUUUCCUUUUUUGUUUUUUUAUUUUUUUGAUUAUGUUUACAUUACUAUCCUGCAGAUAUGCUUCUAUGGAUUAUUAUGCAUCUUUAGAUUUAAUCAGAAAAAAAUCUAAUCUGUACUGUGUUAUGAAAUAAAUCUUUUCACUGGUGCUGCUGAAAAUACAUUUUUAAAGAGCACAACAGACAAAACAAUAAAAGAAAAAAAAAGAUAUCUCAACCAUCCAGGACUUAGAUGCUGCAAGUUCACAAAAAAAAUGGGAUUUGCUUUGCCUUCAUCUGAAGUAUACUCUAAGCUGCACACCCUUGCUUGCUGCCAUAAAGUGGGUCAAUGAGUCACAAGCAGAGUUGGAUGGAAACUAACCAAAGAGAGAAGCAACCUAGAACUAAGGAGAAACUUCCUGACAGUUAGAACAAUUAACCAGUGGAACAACCUCCUCCAGAAGCGGUGAAUGCUCCAAUACUGGAAGUUUUUAAGAAGAGACUGGACAGCCAUUUGUCAAUGAUAUAGUGGUGUCAAAUUUGUCAAACGGGCCAGUUUCAUCAUACCGAAGCAGCGCCCACCCCAUUGCCGGCAAUACAAAAAGAGUUGUAAUACGUUGCGACACGUCACGUGACAUGGCGAGUUUGACACCCGUGCUUUAUAAUGUCUAUUAGUCUUGAAAGAUGACAAAUAGAGUGAUUAUAUUGAUUCUUGAUUCUAAAUGUUGAUGCAAUAUAAAAUGUGAUUUGCCCAGGGUCAUAACAUCUCAUGUUGAAGCAUAUAUGGACUUUCUGCAGAAGUGAAAAAAAUUGAGGGAAGAAAACAUUUUGACUAAUGUGGUUAAAAGGGAGUUUUUCACAUUUCUGAAUUACUAACAGGUUUUAUUUAAGGCAUCAAAUGUUUUUUUCUCCACUGAAAUGGUUUAUUUUAAAAGUUUGAUAACAUUUUAAAGAAGGAUUCUGCAUUUUCCUGUUCAUUUAUCCAUUUGUUAAAAACAUCUCAAAACUAGUUCAAACAAGAGGUGGAUAGAAGGGAAGACAUGUACACAGUAGAAUUGUUUCCCAUGCCUAAAGUGAUUUAUCAAUAUCUCAGCUACUGACAAGAAUCCUCCUAUCAAGCUUUCAAUAUUCAUAGUUUAUAUUUCUUAAGCAGGAGAUACAUUUGAAAUUGGGAUGUUUUGGGCAUUACCUCAACAUCACUGUGGGGGAGAUGAUUUGUACAUUCCCCAAAUGAUAGACUGCUGAGGUUUUCCCACCAUUCUGGAGAUGUCCAGAAUACUCCCUAUCGCUUCAGCUUGUACUUCCCAUUUUAACUGGGCAACACAGCACAUUUGCAAACAAUUCAUUCAGUUUUAGCCACCUUCAUUUUCUAUUUUCUAAGAAAGCCCAUGGGGUUUUUUGCAGUAUGUUCAGUUCCUAUAUCAUGUUUUAAAUUAAAAGAAUCUAGAAAACUAAAAACGAAGGCAGCAGGGGCCAGAACCUAGCAGAAUCAAGGAUAGCAUUCAUAGAUAUUGUACUCAUUAUACUAAGAUUCCCUAUAUCUGACAUAGAGUAAUAGGGAAGGAAAGCAAAGAAGAAGAUAAGGGAUAGUAAACAGUCCCUGGAUUCCACCUUUGAUGUUCUAAAGCUGGAAGCAAAGCCAUCUAUUGAAUUUUAUGGCUAAAUAUUGGUUCAAAUAGUGCAGCCUUAUCAUGUUUCUUCAGAAGGCAGGUCUUCAUGAGUUCAACUGAAUUUACAUUCAGAAAAAUGUGAUUGGAAUUGUUCUUAUUAAAUAGUAACAUGAACGUUUCAUUUUAGUUUCUGGUAGAUCAGAUCCCACAAUCCAAAAGGCCACCUAAAAAAGUAAUACUUCAAGCUUCCUAGAAUUGACCAGAAGAGCAAAUAACAUAUUAAGGAAAGGGGAAAGAGGGAUGUCUAGAAAGGCUGUCAUGGCAUCAAAACCACACUGAGCAAAUAGAAAUAAUUUUUCCCCUGAACUGUAUUCUUUACAAUAUAUUUUUGUUAGAUUGAGAAUGUUUAUAAUAUAGCAGCUAUGCCUCUCCAGGGAAUGUUAAUAUUCAGCUGAAGAAGUUUUCUGCAAAACACAAACUUUGCUCACUCUUUUUCCCUAUAUUUUUCUUUUCUAUUAAUCCAUGUGAUUAUUUUAUUCAUUUUCCAUUCUUAAUCAUAUUAAACCUUUGAAGAUACGGUAAA